AUUGAACGCUGGCGGUAGGCCUAACACAUGCAAGUCGAGCGGCAGCAGGGUGCUUGCUUGUGGUUUCGGCGGCGGAGGGGCGAGCAAUGGCUAGGAACCUCCCUGUCUGCGUGGGCGUACGUGCUGACAUGGGCGCUCAUACCGUAUACGUCCUGAGGGCGUACGUGGGGAAUCUUCGGAUCUUCCGCUCUCACAUGAUCGUAGGUCGGAUUAGCUAGUUGGUGGGGUAAAGGCCUACCAAGGCGACGAUCCGUAACUGGUCUGAGAGGAUGAUCAGUCACACUGGAACUGAGACACGGUCCAGACUCCUACGGGAGGCAGCAGUGGGGAAUAUUGGACAAUGGGCGAAAGCCUGAUCCAGCCAUGCCGCGUGUGUGAAGAAGGCCUUCGGAUUGUAAAGCACUUUAGGUUGGAAAGAAGGGCAGUAGGUUAAUACCUCGCUGUUUUGACGGUACCAACAGAAUAAGCACCGGCUAACUUCGUG
rnacentral:rRNA from 1 species